GCCUGGUGCAGUGGCACAUGCCUGUAGUCCCAGCUACUCGGGAGGCUGAGGUGGGAGGAUUCCUUGAGCCCAGGAGUUCUGGGCGACAGUGCGCUAUGCCAAUCGGGUGUUUGCACUAAGUUCGGCAUCAAUAUGGUGACCACCCAGGAGCGGGGGACCACCAGGUUGCCUAAGGAGGGGUGAACCAGCCCAGGUUGGAAACGGAGCAGGUCAAAACUCCCAUGCUGAUCAGUAGCAGGAUCGCACCUGUGAAUUGCUACUGCACUCCAGCCUGGGCAACAUAGCGAGACCCCGUCUCU
rnacentral:SRP_RNA from 1 species